rnacentral:rRNA from 1 species
CGACUCUCGGCAACGGAUAUCUCGGCUCUCGCAUCGAUGAAGAACGUAGCGAAAUGCGAUACUUAGUGUGAAUUGCAGAAUCCCGUGAACCAUCGAGUCUUUGAACGCAAGUUGCGCCCCAAGCCAUUAGGCCGAGGGCACGCCUGCCUGGUGUCACG